GAUGAACGCUGGCGGCGUGCCUAAUACAUGCAAGUCGAGCGAACGGACGAGAAGCUUGCUUCUCUGAUGUUAGCGGCGGACGGGUGAGUAACACGUGGAUAACCUACCUAUAAGACUGGGAUAACUUCGGGAAACCGGAGCUAAUACCGGAUAAUAUUUUGAACCGCAUGGUUCAAAAGUGAAAGACGGUCUUGCUGUCACUUAUAGAUGGAUCCGCGCUGCAUUAGCUAGUUGGUAAGGUAACGGCUUACCAAGGCAACGAUGCAUAGCCGACCUGAGAGGGCGAUCGGCCACACUGGAACUGAGACACGGUCCAGACUCCUACGGGAGGCAGCAGUAGGGAAUCUUCCGCAAUGGGCGAAAGCCUGACGGAGCAACGCCGCGUGAGUGAUGAAGGUCUUCGGAUCGUAAAACUCUGUUAUUAGGGAAGAACAUAUGUGUAAGUAACUGUGCACAUCUUGACGGUACCUAAUCAGAAAGCCACGGCUAACUACGUGCCAGCAGCCGCGGUAAUACGUAGGUGGCAAGCGUUAUCCGGAAUUAUUGGGCGUAAAGCGCGCGUAGGCGGUUUUUUAAGUCUGAUGUGAAAGCCCACGGCUCAACCGUGGAGGGUCAUUGGAAACUGGAAAACUUGAGUGCAGAAGAGGAAAGUGGAAUUCCAUGUGUAGCGGUGAAAUGCGCAGAGAUAUGGAGGAACACCAGUGGCGAAGGCGACUUUCUGGUCUGUAACUGACGCUGAUGUGCGAAAGCGUGGGGAUCAAACAGGAUUAGAUACCCUGGUAGUCCACGCCGUAAACGAUGAGUGCUAAGUGUUAGGGGGUUUCCGCCCCUUAGUGCUGCAGCUAACGCAUUAAGCACUCCGCCUGGGGAGUACGACCGCAAGGUUGAAACUCAAAGGAAUUGACGGGGACCCGCACAAGCGGUGGAGCAUGUGGUUUAAUUCGAAGCAACGCGAAGAACCUUACCAAAUCUUGACAUCCUUUGACAACUCUAGAGAUAGAGCCUUCCCCUUCGGGGGGGCAAAGUGACAGGUGGUGCAUGGUUGUCGUCAGCUCGUGUCGUGAGAUGUUGGGUUAAGUCCCGCAACGAGCGCAACCCUUAAGCUUAGUUGCCAUCAUUAAGUUGGGCACUCUAAGUUGACUGCCGGUGACAAACCGGAGGAAGGUGGGGAUGACGUCAAAUCAUCAUGCCCCUUAUGAUUUGGGCUACACACGUGCUACAAUGGACAAUACAAAGGGCAGCGAAACCGCGAGGUCAAGCAAAUCCCAUAAAGUUGUUCUCAGUUCGGAUUGUAGUCUGCAACUCGACUACAUGAAGCUGGAAUCGCUAGUAAUCGUAGAUCAGCAUGCUACGGUGAAUACGUUCCCGGGUCU
rnacentral:rRNA from 1 species